UACGUAGGGGGCAAGCGUUGUCCGGAAUCAUUGGGCGUAAAGCGCGCGUAGGCGGCCCGGUAAGUCCGUUGUGAAAGUCAAAGGCUCAACCUUUGAACGCCGAUGGAUACUGCCGGGCUAGAGUCCGGAAGAGGCGAGUGGAAUUCCUGGUGUAGCGGUGGAAUGCGCAGAUAUCAGGAGGAACGCCAAUAGCGAAGGCAGCUCGCUGGGACGGUACUGACGCUGAGGCGCGAAAGCGUGGGGAGCGAACAGG
rnacentral:rRNA from 1 species